rnacentral:rRNA from 1 species
AUUGAACGCUGGCGGCAUGCCUUACACAUGCAAGUCGAACGGCAGCAUGGAGAGCUUGCUCUCUGAUGGCGAGUGGCGAACGGGUGAGUAAUGCAUCGGAACGUACCGUGUAAUGGGGGAUAACGUAGCGAAAGCUAAGCUAAUACCGCAUACGACCUGAGGGUGAAAGCAGGGGAUCGCAAGACCUUGCGUUAUACGAGCGGCCGAUGUCAGAGUAGCUAGUUGGUGAGGUAAAGGCUCACCAAGGCGACGAUCUGUAGCGGGUCUGAGAGGAUGAUCCGCCACACUGGGACUGAGACACGGCCCAGACUCCUACGGGAGGCAGCAGUGGGGAAUUUUGGACGAUGGGGGCAACCCUGAUCCAGCCAUGCCGCGUGAGUGAAGAAGGCCUUCGGGUUGUAAAGCUCUUUCGGCCGGGAAGAAAUCGCACAGGCUAAUACUCUGUGUGGAUGACGGUACCGGCAUAAGAAGCACCGGCUAACUACGUGCCAGCCGCCGCCGUAA